AUACGUAGGCAGCAAGCGUUGUUCGGAAUUACUGGGCGUAAAGGGUGCGUAGGCGGUUAUCUAAGUUUGGUGUGAAAUCUCCCGGCUUAACUGGGAGGGUGCGCUGAAGACUGGAUGACUUGAGUAUGGGAGAGGAAAGCGGAAUUCCUGGUGUAGCGGUGAAAUGCGUAGAGAUCAGGAGGAACACCUGCGGUGUAGACGGCUUUCUGGACCAAGACUGACGCUGAGGCACGAAAGCGUGGGUAGC
rnacentral:rRNA from 1 species